rnacentral:rRNA from 1 species
UACGUAGGGUGCGAGCGUUGUCCGGAAUUAUUGGGCGUAAAGGGCUCGUAGGCGGUCUGUCGCGUCGGGAGUGAAAACUCAGGGCUCAACCCUGAGCCUGCUUCCGAUACGGGCAGACUAGAGGUAUGCAGGGGAGAACGGAAUUCCUGGUGUAGCGGUGAAAUGCGCAGAUAUCAGGAGGAACACCGGUGGCGAAGGCGGUUCUCUGGGCAUUACCUGACGCUGAGGAGCGAAAGUGUGGGGAGCGAACAGG